rnacentral:rRNA from 1 species
CCGCUGACGAGCGGCGGACGGGUGAGUAAUGCAUAGGAAACUGCCCAGUAGUGGGGGAUAGCCCGGGGAAACCCGGAUUAAUACCGCGUACGCCCUUCGGGGGAAAGCAGGGGAUCUUCGGACCUUGCGCUAUUGGAUGUGCCUAUGUCGGAUUAGCUAGUUGGUGGGGUAAAGGCCUACCAAGGCGACGAUCCGUAGCUGGUCUGAGAGGAUGAUCAGCCACAUCGGGACUGAGACACGGCCCGAACUCCUACGGGAGGCAGCAGUGGGGAAUAUUGGACAAUGGGGGCAACCCUGAUCCAGCCAUGCCGCGUGUGUGAAGAAGGCUUUCGGGUUGUAAAGCACUUUCAGUGAGGAGGAAAACUCUGCGACUAAUACUCGUAGGGCUUGACGUUACUCACAGAAGAAGCACCGGCUAACUCCGUGCCAGCAGCCGCGGUAAUACGGAGGGUGCAAGCGUUAAUCGGAAUUACUGGGCGUAAAGCGCGCGUAGGUGGUUUGAUAAGCGAGAUGUGAAAGCCCCGGGCUUAACCUGGGAACGGCAUUUCGAACUGUCAGGCUAGAGUAUGGUAGAGGAGAGUGGAAUUUCCUGUGUAGCGGUGAAAUGCGUAGAUAUAGGAAGGAACACCAGUGGCGAAGGCGGCUAUCUGGACCAAUACUGACACUGAGGUGCGAAAGCGUGGGGGAGCAAACAGGAUUAGAUACCCUGGUAGUCCACGCCGUAAACGAUGUCUACUAGCCGUUGGGACUCUUGAAGUCUUAGUGGCGCAGCUAACGCACUAAGUAGACCGCCUGGGGAGUACGGCCGCAAGGUUAAAACUCAAAUGAAUUGACGGGGGCCCGCACAAGCGGUGGAGCAUGUGGUUUAAUUCGACGCAACGCGAAGAACCUUACCUGGCCUUGACAUGCAGAGAACUUUCCAGAGAUGGAUUGGUGCCUUCGGGAACUCUGACACAGGUGCUGCAUGGCCGUCGUCAGCUCGUGUCGUGAGAUGUUGGGUUAAGUCCCGUAACGAGCGCAACCCCUAUCCCUAGUUGCUAGCAGUUCGGCUGAGAACUCUAGGGAGACUGCCGGUGACAAACCGGAGGAAGGUGGGGAUGACGUCAGGUCAUCAUGGCCCUUACGGCCAGGGCUACACACGUGCUACAAUGGUGCGCACAGAGGGCUGCAAACCCGCGAGGGGGAGCCAAUCUCACAAAACGCAUCGUAGUCCGGAUCGCAGUCUGCAACUCGACUGCGUGAAGUCGGAAUCGCUAGUAAUCGUGAAUCAGAAUGUCACGGUGAAUACGUUCCCGGGCCUUGUACACACCGCCCGUCACACCAUGGGAGUGGAUUGCACCAGAAGUGGUUAGUCUAACC